rnacentral:misc_RNA from 1 species
GAUGAAGAACGUAGCGAAAUGCGAUAAGUAAUGUGAAUUGCAGAAUUCAGUGAAUCAUCGAAUCUUUGAACGCACAUUGCGCCCGCCAGUAUUCUGGCGGGCAUGCCUGUUCGAGCGUCAUUUCAACCAUCAAGCCCCCGGCUUGUGUUGGGGACCUGCGGCUGCCGCAGGCCCUGAAAACCAGUGGCGGGCUCGCUGUCACACCGAGCGUAGUAGAUUUUCAUCUCGCUCAGGGCGUGCUGCGGGUUCCGGCCGUAAAAAGCCUUAUUUACCCAAGGUUGACCUCGGAUCAGGUAGGAAGACCCGCUGAACUUAAGCAUAUCGAUAAGCGGAGGA